UACGGAGGGGACUAGCGUUGUUCGGAAUUACUGGGCGUAAAGCGCACGUAGGCGGAUUUGUAAGUCAGGGGUGAAAUCCCGGGGCUCAACCUCGGAACUGCCUUUGAUACUGCAAAUCUCGAGUCCGGAGGAGGUGAGUGGAAUUCCUAGUGUAGAGGUGAAAUUCGUAGAUAUUAGGAAGAACACCAGUGGCGAAGGCGGCUCACUGGGCCGAUACUGACGCUGAGGAGCGAAAGCGUGGGGAGCGAACAGG
rnacentral:rRNA from 1 species